rnacentral:rRNA from 2 species
AGAGUUUGAUCAUGGCUCAGAACGAACGCUGGCGGCAGGCUUAACACAUGCAAGUCGAACGCACCUUCGGGUGAGUGGCAGACGGGUGAGUAACGCGUGGGAACGUGCCCUUCAGUUCGGAAUAACCCAGGGAAACUUGGGCUAAUACCGGAUACGUGCGAGAGCAGAAAGAUUUAUCGCUGAAGGAUCGGCCCGCGUCUGAUUAGCUAGUUGGUGGGGUAAUGGCCCACCAAGGCGACGAUCAGUAGCUGGUCUGAGAGGAUGAUCAGCCACAUUGGGACUGAGACACGGCCCAAACUCCUACGGGAGGCAGCAGUGGGGAAUAUUGGACAAUGGGCGCAAGCCUGAUCCAGCCAUGCCGCGUGAGUGAUGAAGGCCUUAGGGUUGUAAAGCUCUUUCGGCGGGGACGAUAAUGACGGUACCCGCAGAAGAAGCCCCGGCUAACUUCGUGCCAGCAGCCGCGGUAAUACGAAGGGGGCUAGCGUUGUUCGGAAUCACUGGGCGUAAAGGGCGCGUAGGCGGCUUGAUAAGUCGGGGGUGAAAGCCUGUGGCUCAACCACAGAAUUGCCUUCGAUACUGUCUGGCUUGAGACCGGAAGAGGUAAGUGGAACUGCGAGUGUAGAGGUGAAAUUCGUAGAUAUUCGCAAGAACACCAGUGGCGAAGGCGGCUUACUGGUCCGGUUCUGACGCUGAGGCGCGAAAGCGUGGGGAGCAAACAGGAUUAGAUACCCCCGUAGUCC